GUUUGGCAUGACGUUAGGUGCUUUACAUUCAUUUUCUUUUCUUCCAACAGAAUAUGGAAGUAAUUAAGGUAAUUAAGGUGACUUUUCAAGAUCACACAGCAGGAAUGAACUGACUUACACUGGUUUUCCUGCGGACAACUGAAAAGCAGCAAGUUACACCUGCAAGUGUAUGAAGUGUUUCCCUUCAGAUGGAGAAGGCAGAAUACCACCGAAAUCAUAGGAACAGUUUUCCAACUGCCGUUAUGCAUAAAACAAUGGUCCUCAGAUGAAGUUUCCUCCUGGGGCUACAUCUUUCUCAGGCUUUGCAUGUCACUUUGAUAAUAUGCUGACUAAAAACAUACACUCCAUCAAUUUCAGAAUCUCCAAAUUUGCCUACUUAAAAUGGAGUGCCCCGUUGAAUGUGGCUUUUUGAAUGAAGAAAUGCAGAGAAGUGAAUUUUACUGCAAUGAUGAAUCAGCACAAUUAUUUGCAUAUGAAUUUUAUGUUGCUGCCAAUUCCUCUUUAAUUAUGAUUGUAUGACUCAUCAAUCCAUGGCUGUAUGACUGAUUGGAGCCCUCCCUACUUGCAAUGGUCAAGCUAAUAUGGGUCCUAGAUAGGUAAAAUUGAAAUUCAUGGAAAAAGCCCCAAACAGUAAAUAAAGUUGGAAACUGAUUCUAAGGGCAAGAGUUCUUCCCUUUUUCCUAACACACAUCAAUCUUACACUGAAGUCUGGAUUCAAGUUCACUGUAGCAAAUUACCAUCAAUCAAGAAAGAGAGAGAAGUCAGAACACAGUGAGGGUCCAUUGACCAGAGAGGAAUCCCACAAUGUAUUGAGUUUAUACCCACAUUUGUUCUUAAUAAGAAAACUGUAAUCACAGGAUAAACAGAAACAGAGGCAGUGAUUCUUUUUGGUAAUAUCUCCCAAAUGCUUUUCUUAUUUUCUAAAACAUGAAUACUAAGCACACAGCCAGUGUGAAGUACAUUGUAACAUAUAAGAGCUAAAAUUCAAAUGGGUCUCUUCCAAUAUUUUUAUCAUUGAAGAACUUCAUUACUACAAAUCAUGCAUGCCAUUUAACCAAAACUAUUUUAGAAAGUAGUAUAUAAUUGCUAGUUACCAACAACUGGGCACCAUGAAUACACAGAGGUUAUUUUAUCAGUGGAUAAACAGCUUCAGUUUAAGCAAAGAUUUUGGGAAAAAAAAAACCAGAUGUCUUAGUAUAAAUCAAGAGAUCCAUGAUUCUUUAAGUAAACACAGUGCCCUAAAUCCAUCAUUUAUAUUGGUGUAACCAGCAUUCCAGAAACACAUAUCAUAAAUGAACGAGCCUCUCACACAACCCUGUACUCUGAGAAGCCAGAAGGUUUAAUCCCCAAAUAGAUUAAACUAGACAGAUGGGUAAAACUGUUUACAGUGUUCCCAGAAUGGCUGUUUUUGUGACAUGCCUCAAAGAGGACACAGAUGCAUAUGACCCAUUUUAAUUUUCCUUCUCUAAGCCUCUCUGCUUUACUGAGCCAAGCAUGGUUCAGAAGCAGGUCUGAAUAAGUCAGGAAUGCAUGAGUUCCAAAGAGUCCCAUUUAGGACCUGAGAGAAAUAAAGAUCAGGCAACGAAUCCUGAGUAAGCUAUCCCCAAAUCAAAUAAACAUGUUCUUCAUUUGGAGAUUAUGCCAUGAUAUAAAUGUCACACACACUUUCAAUCCCAGUUAAUUUAUGGUUCUUUCCUUUUCUUUUCUUUUCCUUUUUUUUUUUUUUUUUUUUUUUUUUGAGAUGGAGUCUCAGUCUGUCACCCAGGCUGGAGUGCAGUGGCGCAAUCUUGGCUCACUGCAACCUCCGCCUUCCAGGUUCAAGCAAUUCUCCUGCCUCAGCCUCCCGAGUAGCUGGGACUACAGGUGCCUAGCUAAUUUUUUGUAUUUUAGUAGAGAUGGGGUUUCACCGUGUUGUGCUGGUUAUUUCUAAUGUCAUUUUUUAGAUAAAUGAGAUAAGCUCAGAGUAUCUUUCAAAAUUCAUUGUCCCAACUAUCAACCCCUUACCUGUUCCUCUAGACUUUCAGUGAUAUGUUUUGCACUAGCAGAGGGCAGAACCCAUCCAUCACUCCCCAUGAUCAACAGUUACAGUAUGUGCCUCUUUUAUUUUCCUGGAAAAUGCUAGAUCAUGCCAGAAGUAUGGCUUUAAAAGUGUAUUAAACUGUAUUGAUAAAACCGUAAACUAGUUGCAAGAAGAAGGCACUCAAGUGAAAAUGUCAAGUUCAAAUGAUAGUCUACAAGCAGGACAGCUUUCAAAUCCCAUUAUGACUCUCCACAUCCCUAUUCCAAAAGAGGGACUGGAAUUGGUCAUUAUUCUGAUUGGGAAAUAGAUAUCAGAGAAUAGGAGGGCUUCUCUACCACAGGGCUGCAGUUGGCUCUUGUGUAAGCUUCCACCCCUGGCCGCCUCUCACUCCCUCCUCACCCACCCACUGGGAUCCCCUUCACACACUCCUUCUUCCCCCAUUAAUAGACACACUCAUACCCCUUUACACUCUGUCUUUAGAGAUUUGCUAUAUCCUAAGGUAUAAAAUCAAGAAUAACUCAAAUUCCACUGAUAGAAAUGUAGCAUCUGCAUUUUAGUUGCAAUGCUGCAAGAAGCAGGGGUUUCUCUCCCUUAAAGAUUUGUAUGGUUUGAAAUGAAUAAAAGAUAAGGCUAUGAACAUAGCACAGGGUUCAGAAGAUUAGUAUGCAUGUAGCUGUUUAUUCCCUCCAAGGCUAAACAGCUAAAGUCAUUUCCUUCCAAAUGAAGGUAUUUUAGGACAUUUUUAUUCAGCGUUCAGAAUUUAAACUCAUGCCCUCCUUAAAUGGCCCAGCUUGCUACUUCAGUUCCAUUUAACCUUCCUACCCUUCCUCACAUUUCCAAAAGAAGAAAUUUAAAAAUAAUAAACUGCACCUAAAGGGCCAUAAUCUAGUUCAUUAAAUCAUUCCAACAAACAAUAGUCCUAAGCAUACAAGUUAUAUAACCAUGUUUUGUUUAAGAAAAUGAAUAUUAUAUAAUUUGAUAUUUCUUUUUUUUUUUUUUUGGCCAAAUAGGACUACCAUGAUGUAUAGGUUCUAAAGCCAAAAAUAUGAAACUUAUUUGAUGGAAAAGUUAACAUACCAAGUUUUUAUCUAAGGUGAAGUCCAUUCAGAUUUACAAGGCUAUAAAUUAUCUAGCUAUAUUCAAGUGACAUAUUUUAGAUUUAUCUUUUUGAUAAAUAAAGAGUCCUUUGUGGGCAGAGAGAAAUGUAAUACAAAACAACUCUGCCAAAACUGCCUUCCUUCUUUAAGCACUAUACCGGAGCAAAUUCCUCUCUCUUCACCUUCACCAUUAGAUUUACUCUUCCUCCUAUAGCCCCAGAUUUAGCUGUGCUGAUCAGAACUGUGGGCAAUAUUAGCACUGUCUCUCUCUAUGCCACUUCUCAUACCAAAUAAGUACUAAGCCUCAUCUAUUCUAACUCCUACAUCUCUUUCCAGUCCAGCCAUGCCUCCACAUCUCCAUUGCCAUUCUUGCCAUUAUUUCUCAUGUGGAUUACAGCAUAGCCCUCUCCCUUAUUUUUCUGAUCCCUGUUUUGCUGGCUUUGAUCCAUUCUUCCUAGUGUCUGCAGAGUGGCCAUGUGAAACUGCUAAACUGAAUCUGUCCUAAUGCCUAAAAUUUCUCUGCUUCUUGUCUGCUGUAACUCUUCAGAUGAAGUCUCCAGGCCUAAACAGUAUUCAACGGCCUACAAGUCCUGAUUCUUGUCCGUGCCUCUAUCUGCUUUAUUCUGUAGGACAUUGAUCUUUUUUUGCAAUUCUUUGAAUAUAAACUCAUUCUUGAAUAUGCUUCUUUUACUCAAUAAAUACUUCCAAAAUACCCAAGGUGGCCGGGCACGUCCACAAUGUGCCCAGCAUGCCUGUAAUCCUGGAAUUUUGGGAGGCUGAGGCAGGUGGAUCGCUUGAUCUUAGGAGUUCAGGACUGGCCUGGGCAACAUGGUGGAACCCCAACUCUACUAAAAAUUACAAAAAUUAGCUGGGCAUGGUGGUGUGUGCCUGUAGUCCCAGCUACUUGGGAGGCUGAGGUAGGAGAUCGCUCAAGCCCCAGAGGCAGAGGUUGCAGUGAGCUAUCACCACCACUGCAUUCCAGCCUGGGUGACAGAGUGAGACUCUAUCUCGAACAAAUAAACAAACAAAUACCCAUCAUAUGCCAGGUUUUGUGCUAGAUGUUGAGAAACAGGGGUGAACACAGUCUUUCUGACCCUAUGUAUUCCUGCAGUAAUGGGACUUCCUCUAGCAUAGCAUGCCCCAAUCUGAAUUAUAAUUGACAUGAUUUGUCCAUAUCACCAUUAGAAUCUAAGCUCUAUGAUGGAGAGGGAUGGGUUAUGUUUAUUUUGUCGACUCGUGUGUUCUCAGUCCCUAGCAGAAAGCCUGGCACCUAGUAGGGGUUCCAGAAAUUUUUGAGUAAAUUACCAUGUUAUUUAUAACAUAAAUUUACCAGUUGCCUGUUAAUAGAUCUAAAAAGAAUAAUUUCCUGUGCACUUCCCCUCAGCAGAGUAAAUUUCCAACAACAUAUAAUUACACUUUCUCUGGAAAUUUUUAGUCUUUGUAAUUGUCUUAGUUUGAGUUCCCUCAAAAGCAGACCCUGAGACAAAGACUUGGAUUCAGUUAGUUUAUUUGGGAUGAUCCCAGGAAGAACAGGGGAGGUGAUAGGAAAGGCAACUGAGAAGGGAGAAAUCCAAUAAGAGGAGUUUUAACGAGAGGGUAACCCAUGUAGGCAACUGAGGCUCAGAUUUUUUCUGAGGACUCAUAUAGGACAUUCUUAAAACAGUGCCAAUGAGGGACUGAGAUACCAGAUUAUUUAUUCAGUGAAUCUUCUCCCAUAUUGAUUAAGGGAUGCCCUUGGAGGCAUUAAAUUCUUGUCACUUCUAGGCUGCUAUUCACCAGAACUGAGUAAAACUACCAUGGCACUGUAGAAGUCCCCAGGAAAGGAGUGGGAGAUGGAGGUUUUUGACAUGGAAGCUGUCUGUGUUAUCUGGGAACUGUCCAUGAAGGCUGCAGGUAAACUCAGCUGGGCCAAGGGAAACAGAGUAGGCAUCCUUAUCAACUGCCAUGCACACCUUCACAUACAGCAUUAAAAACAAAAACACCCCAAAACCUAACAUCCUGAGUGCCUACCACUUUGUUUCUAGUAUUCACUUAAUAGCAGAUUGGAGUAUUGCGGAAUAAUGAGAGAUUUUCAAGAAAUCAGGAUUCUCUGAGGACCAGAUCUAGUUUGGUGAUGACUAAAAGGGCCAUGGACAGGAAAAGAUCAUUUAAAGAUUUCAGAAUGGUCAAGAAAACUAAAGAAAGACUGUGAACAUCUAUGCACGUUUACAAGCUGUCAAUAAACAAGCUGAAGAAUACACCAAAGGCCCAGAUGCUACUUCUGGCAAGGCAGUGAUAAUUCCUCUGUCUUCCAAAAAAGAGAAGAACUUCUAGAAACCUAUGAGGAGGGGAGGAAAACAUGUGUUCCUACUCCAUAUACUUACCUAACUUCCCUAGCUCUAAUUAAUUCAUAAAGCAUACCUUUUUAUAAAAGAGGCUUAAUCAUAGAUUUCCUUGAAGAAAAAAAUGUAUGCAUAUAAAAAUUUGAAGAAGAUUUUCUCCUUAUAUGAAAGUAAUAAGUGCUUAUAUAAUUAUCAUAAAUAAAAAAGGAAUAAUAAUCUGUUUACACAGAAAUAAAAUAUUCUUUUUUUUUUUUUUUUUUGAGGCAGGGUCUCACUCUGUCUGCCAGGCUGGAGUGCAGGGAUGCUAGUUCCGCUCACUGCAGCCUUGACCUCCUCAGGCUCAACUAAUCCUCCUGCCUCAGCCUCCAAAGCAGCUGGGACCACAGGCCCACACCAUCACAUCCGGCUAAGUUUUUAUUUUUUGUAGAGACGGGGUUCCGCCAUGUUGCCCAGGCUGGUCUCUAACUCCUGAUGCACCCGCCUUGGCCUCCCAAAGUGUUGAGAUUACAGGCGUGAGCCACCGCGCCCAGCCUGAAAAUAUUCUGCUACAUGAAACAACAUGAUGUGAGUAGAAAUGUAAGGCACGCAUCUGUAAAACUGAAGAAUAAAAAUACCAACAUACACAAAACGUGAGCACAUGUUUUAGUACAUGUUUUUUCUCUUCGGUCCCUUCUGAAAGUCCACUAAAGUUAUGGUAAAAUAAUAAUAUGAUAAAUAAAUAAAUAAAAGCCCACAAAGAGAAUGAAAAACGAGGUGACAAAAGACAAGAGAUGUAGUUUUUUUUUUUUUUUAAAUAUUAAAUGAGAGAUAACAGAUAGUAAGGAAGAAGAACUGAAAUAGGAGAGCCUGCUGAGAAGUAGUCAGAGUGUGUUGACUGUUGCCAGGGAACUCUGUAGAGGAUUCUGAAGUGGAGAUACCCAGUAGCCCUAAGCAAAGGGGUAAGGCUUAGGGCUGAAAACAGGGCGAUCUGUUGAAAGCCUAUAAAUGGAGCAGCUGAACCUCCACAGCCCUCCCUGGCUUCACAUUGCCUAUCUCCUUCCCUACACCCACAUGGAAUGGGGACAUAGGACAUUUCAGUAUCUCUAACACUUUCUUUUAAGUGAAUCUGAAUUAUUUUCUUUAUUCUUAAGAGGUUUUCUGCAGGCACGCUGGAUAAAACAGCUUCAUUUUUAACCCAUUCCAAAUUUUCACUUCAGUAUUGAGAUACCUUGAAAUCAAGCUGCCCUGGCUGUCACAUCAAGAUUCUGAUAUUUAAUAGCUAUGGAGCUCUGAGACUGUUUUCUCAUCCUUACAAUGCAAAUAAUAUUAUGAGAAAUUGCUGGGGUUGUUGAGAGGAAUAAAGGAGAAAAUCCAUGUACAAUCAUUUAGCCCAGUGCCUGUUGUGCUACCCCGGCAGGGAACAGGAUUAGAAGGUCAUCAGUUUGCAGCCAUCAAUAUAAUGGUUGACUCAGGUGAGACUCAUCAGUGGAUGUGAAAACCAUAGUAUGAAAACUGGUUGGGGAACUGAAUAUUUGCACAGUGUCAGAGUGUCACUUCUUGAUUGCUCAUAAACUAUUAAAAUGAAAAAAUAUGGAAUAAAAAAGUGAUACAAUAAAAAAUAUGGAGGACACCAUCCUGGUAACGGAAUCAAACUUUUAAUUACAAAUAAUGGGACUAACUGAUGAUAAGUAUCUCCUGAUGGGAUAUACUGGAAAGGAAUAAUAUCAUCUAUAAAUAUUCCUACCCCAAAUUCAUAAUCUGAAUUUAAUCAGGAAGAAAUAAUAAGACACAUUUUUAUCUGAAUAAUAAAUAUUUCUUAUUUUAAAUAUUUAUUUAAAUAUUUCUUAUUUUAAAUAUUUAUUUAAAUAUUUCUUAUUUUAAAUAUUUAUUUAAAUAUUUCUUAUUUUAAAUAAUAAAACAGUGGGUAUGAAUUCUCUAAAAAUGUUAAUUUUACCAAACACCACUCCAAAAUAGAUGGAGAAACUUUUCUAGAUUACAGGAUGAUAAAGAGAUCUGACAAGUAAAUGUGAUGCAUUAGAUACUGUAUUAAUAAAGAUACUCUAUUAACAAAAACAAAACCAGAAAACAUCAUUGGGUCAACUGGGGAAAUCUGAAUAUAAACUGAAUGUUAGAUAUAUUACUGUAUUAAUGCCAAGUUUCUUGAGUAUGAUACUGCUCUUGUGCUUAUAUAAGAAAAUGUCCUUUUUCUUAGGGUAUAUAUGUCGCAUUUGGAA
rnacentral:lncRNA from 10 species